rnacentral:pre_miRNA from 1 species
UAUGUACUCCCUCCGUCUGGAAAUACUUGUCCUAGAAAUGGAUGUAUCUAGACUUAUUUUAGUUAUAGAUACAUCCAUUUUAUUCAUUUUGAGGACAAGUAUUUUCGGACGGAGGAAGUAUAAA